AAAACCCCUAUGAGCAUGGCUGGACUAGGAGAAAAACAGAAUUUUGAGAAGAGGAAAGUGAAAAGUUUCUAUUGGAGCUAUACUUUUGCAUAGCUCAUCUCAAAGCAGAAUCUCCUAAAUAGGUAACAUUCACCAAACUAUUUAAGUGAAAAAUACAAGUCCCUAAAUUUCUGCUUUAUUGAAAAUUUAGGUCUCUGAUCACUGGGUUUAUCACAGGAAAAACACCACCCUGAAAAGACAUUAAGUGUGUAGCAAAGACUCCAACUUGAGCUGCAGUUGUGGUUCAGGAAGAAGUACUAGAGCAAACCAUAAUCUGUUAGUAAGAGAAUUGGUUAUCACAAACACUUGCUUUGGAGACUGGAGGACACAGAGAUGCCUGAGUUUUUCCUGUUCAGUCAUUCUGUUUCACAGUGGUUUCAGAGAGGAAAUAAUUGCUGCAAUGACCUGGCAGUUUCUACUCCAUGCAAGUCUAAGUAAUUCGGAGGGGACGCUGCACAUCAGUCACUGUUUCCUGUCUAAGAUUCAGUGAUAAAGAAGCACCUAUAUAAUCAAGAGAAAAGAAAGUAGAGGCGUGAAUUCAGAAAAUUAUUUAAGCCCAAUCCUCCAUGUGCUGAAUGAAAACCACAGGCCCAAACAAAAUUAUAGGUAUAAUUUUUGCCACUUUUCAUAGGAAAGCAUAAUGUGAGGCAAUGUAUUAAAAUAAACUGUAAAAAGGCCUCAAGCAAUUGAGGUUGGUCAUUAGCUUUUUUUUUAUAGGGAAAUUCUUUCUCUGUUUGGGUUACAGUGUCAAGGUUAUCUUUCGUCUGAGAAUUUUGUAAUUUUGCAUUGAACAAGAGACUGUUACUUAUUUUUAAAACUAGUGUAUGCAAAUUAUGAUUAAAUUCCUGGAUAUUUAAUCUUUUGAAUAUCAUUUAAAAAAUAGAAUGAUGGUACACUGAGAUAAUAAUUAACUCAUUAUGAAUAAUGUAUUUUAUAGCUUGAAACUCUGCAUAAAGCAAAGUUGAUGUUGCCUAAAUUUUCAGGCAGAUUCUAGUUGAGAUAUCAAUAAGUUUGAGUCAUGUGUGUAGUAUUACGUAGUGAGAAAUGUUUAUAAUGUGCAUGCUAAAAAUUCCCAGCUUGAAACCCUAAAAGAAUUAUGAUGUCCAAAUAAUGUUUUUC
rnacentral:lncRNA from 1 species